GUCACACUAAGAGACCAGAGCUGCUGGAGAGAUUCUCUCAAGUGUAUGAGUACACCUUCAGUCACGUGAGUUAUUACUGAGGGAAACGUACCCGAGGAAAAAUCUCAUGCUCCACCUCUGAAGUGUUUAAUGUCAACAAAUGACCGUCACGAUGACUUGUAACUUAUGAAGCCUCACUUAAGAAGCACUGAAAUAUUCCUUUAAUGUUCAUAUUGUAGAAACAUUGGGUAGAAUAGAAAAGAAAAGAAGUUGUAGAGAAGAAAAAAGAUGUUAAAAUAGACGAAAAAGAGAUGCCAAAAAUAGAAUAGCAGAGACUAGUAAUGGGAGUGUGCUAAAUAACCGUGCAAGAUUAACGAAGACAGGGCCCAUAUCUUCUUAACGGUAAGACAAUGUGUAAAUUAGUGACUAAUGUGAACGUCUAGCUCAAAAAGGAUAGUCGAAUUCGGGGCGUGGAAAGAAAAAGUGAGGAGUAAAACCCGGAGCCCAGGGUAAUUGGCAAAUAAAUGAUGAAAAGAG
rnacentral:lncRNA from 1 species